CCGACGGUGAGGGGCGAAAGCUGGGGGAGCAAACCGGAUUAGAUACCCGGGUAGUCCCAGCUGUAAACGAUGCGCGUUAGGUGUGUCGGUGACCACGUGUCACUGAUGUGCCGAAGGGAAACCGUGAAACGCGCCGCCUGGGGAGUACGGUCGCAAGGCUGAAACUUAAAGGAAUUGGCGGGGGAACACCACAACGGGUGGAGCCUGCGGUUUAAUCGGACUCAACGCCGGAAAUCUCACCGGAUAA
rnacentral:rRNA from 1 species